UGGGGGCUUAAAACACCAUCAAGCUCAUUUUAGUCUAACACCAUUGAGCUCAUUUUAGUCUAGUUUUAGUCAAAAGAAAACUCUCUCUCUCUCUCUCUCUCUCUCUCUAUAUAUAUAUAUAUAUAUAUACUGUAUACAUAUAUAUAUAUAUAAAAAGAGCAUAAAACAACUAUCGGCGAGAUUAAAGAAUGGCUUGUUUAUUGCUAAGGCCAUAUGCUCAAAAUUAAAUGAUUUAUUUAUAAUGUAAUAAUAACUUAUAAUAAUAACUUAUUUCACCAGUGAAUUGCUGAACUUCCACUAGAUAGGAAAAGAGUAUUUUACAAUAACUUUGAAGUGCGUCUGUGUUGUUUUUCCGACAACGGCAGAUGGUGACUGUGGGACGUCCCGCUGUUGGAUUCCUUUACAGUUAAAUACAGUCACACUUUACACCGUUUAGCUGACAGCAUUUCUACCCUGUUUAAUCCAGCUUCUAGCUAACACUAGGCUAACGUAACCUCCUGUCAAGUUUAGUGUUAAAUAGUGGCACAGAUAAGAAAAAGUUCAGUUCAUAGCUUUGAAUCUUAAAAAAAAGCGUCUUCAGAUUUUAUUUAAAACAAGCAAUUGUAUUACAUGAUUUGAUAUGGGGUGGGAGGGAAUUCCAGAGUUUGGGGGCUACUACAGAGAAGGCUCGGUCCCCUCUGGUUUUUAGGCGUGUCCGGGGGAUGACAAGGAGUCGUUGGGUUGUGGACCUGAGUGCCCUGGCGGCAGAGUAAGUAGACAGGCGAUCAGAAAUAUACGGAGGGGCUUGACCAUGGAGUGCUUUAAAAACACCAGGAUUCGAUACUCAACCCUACUCAGAACACUAAUUACUCCAUUAGCUAUAGGCCAGGAUUUAAAGUAAGUAAACAUUAGUUUGUUGCUAUAUUAAUGUUCUGAAUGUCGAGUACAGAACCCUUUACGAGGCUUUACGAGGCUUCUUAAAGACACCGUUUGUUGAAAUAGGGUUAUUCACCGUCUCUUCUGUAUUUAUAUAGGUGGGCAAACGCAUUUUUGUCUCAGUGCAUGCAUUGUCUUAGUCCGGCGGUGCUGCCGCUAGCUUAGCUUAGCGCAAUGAGUGUUAAUUUCGUCUUAGUCAGCGUUUUUGGACAUUGGUGCAGUCUCGUCAUCGUCUCGUCUUAGUCAUGGAAAAAAAGGUCGUUGACAAACGUAUUUAGUCUCGUCCCGUCUGACGAAAUGAACACUCACGAACCCAUUCCCUUGAGCAUGUUUUCCCUGUCCGUCUGGUUUGUUUUGUGUUUUGUGUUUUAUGUUCCUGACUGUACCCCGUUCCGGUUGCCGGGCAACGAGAGCAAGCCGGAAAAUUCCAGGAUCACCAGAACUUCCUAUCAACCGGAUCCUCGUCAGCAAUCUACACACCUGUUCCUGAUCAUCAUCAUUACCACCAUCAUCCAGGCCCUGCCAGAUCGUCCUCUAUAUUUAUAUAGGUUCCUGACUGUACCCCGUUCCGGUUGCCGAGCAACGAGUGCAAGGCGGAAAAUUCCAGGAUCACCAGAACCUCCUCUCAACCGGAUCCUCGUCAGCAAUCUACACACCUGUUCCUGAUCAUCAUCACUACCACCAUCAUCCAGGCCCUGCCAGAUCGUCCUCUAUAUUUAUAUAGUUGCUGGGAAACGAGUGCAAGGCGGAAAAUUCCAGGAUCACCAGAACCUCCUCUCAACCGGAUCCUCGUCAGCCAUUUACACACCUGUUCCUGAUCUUCAUCACUACCACCAUCAUCCAGGCCCUGCCGGAUCGUUAGCCACACUAUACCUUCACCUUGGAAUUCCCUUCCCGCCGGUCUGGUAACCAGA